GUUCAAUAACAGUAGGUCCAUCCACAACUUUUGACAAUGGAAAACCAAAAAAGAAAGGUUCAAUUGCCAUGCAGUGGAAAUGCAGCAUCGGUCAUUUGGUCAUCCUGUAUGGAUCCAAGCAUUAAACUGCACAGCAAAAACUGGAGAGUUGACAUUUCAGGGUUAAACAUUUCUGAGUUGAUUUCAACUCACGUAGUGUUACUUUAACAUUUUCGGAUUCAAAUGGUGUUUAUUGUUGGAGUUAUUUAAGUGUUAAUCAUGUCAGAGUUAGACCAACUCUGCAGAGACGUGAUUAUGCUCCGCCCCUGCAUGUCACUGCUUCGGUUGGAGACGAGUCCACGACAAGUCAGCUCAAUUUUCUCUCCUCAUGCAGUUGACAGGUAAAAAUGUUGGUCCAGGUGAAGUACAGACAACAGCACAAGUAUGUGAAAUUGGAUGCAGUUGAAGGACAGUUUGACUUUCUACAUUUCAAUGAAAAAGUCGUUGAGAGAUUUUGCCUGCCACCUGAUGCAAAGGUUGUAUACAAGGAUGCAACGGAGACAGAAGUUAAUACAGAAAUAUUCAGAGACCUCAUUGGACGAGGCAACGUGGUGCUGAGUUUUCUCAGAGUUCUCUGAAUGGUCCUUUUCCCUCUGCUUCUGUUAAGUCCGAUUCAAGCUUCAGCUCAAGUGCAUCAACUGCGAAUGUCAAUGAGGUUCCAAGCAAGAGACAAAGAAUCGAGGAUACACUUGAUGCAGUGUCUGCUAAACAGUUUUAUUCCAGGAACACUUCCAUGAUGCUGCAGGCAGCACAGGAUAUAUUUCUUGGCGUCUGAAAGCAAUCAAACGAAAGAUUUGUCAAGGAUCUGCACCAUCACCAAAUAGCCCUAUGGACACUUCUCCCAAAUGUCCAACGAGGAUUACCAACGGAUUGGUGGAUCAAGACUUCCCCCUCCUAUUUGAUGACACAUCCUCCAGGCUCCUUCAGAAAUGUGAUGUGUUCUUCAGUCCAAAUGUCAUAAAAGAGGCUAGAGUGGCUUACUUCAACACCCAGAGUUGUGUCGCUUGUUGCAGCAGAGAGUCCCACAGGAAGUGAUCUUGAUGAGACAACAAUCAUGCUGCAGUUUGGAGGCAGCAUCUCCGCAACCAGCAGGGUCGGCAGCCAUACCUCCUCGCUGUUGGGCGUCAGAAGAGCAAGAUUGACAGCUUCUACAUCACCAUGGAUAAGCAUCUCAUCCCACGCCAGGCAAACCGCUCCCUACCUCGGGGCUUUCGACGAACUUUCCAAAACCCAUUGUGUGUUUAAUUUGUCGUACGAUGCUGCGUUACUGAAUUGUUACACAUUCUUACAGACAACAGUGUAUAACAGUGAUGUGGAGAAAAUGAAGGAGUCAGUCAGAGUCAGAGACUUGAGAGCCAGACUGCUUGACCAGCUAGUACCGGUCUCACUCUCUGAGUAAGAGGCUGAAACAAUACUGACCGGUUUCAUGUGUCAGAAUUUGUAUCCCAGCAGCCAGAAGUUAAUGGUGUUAUACUGGAGCCGUUGAUAAAUGAUAUAAAAUUACUGAAAACCCAA